CAAAAUUAAUAUAGGUCAAGGUCAGAUGUACCUUGCCAGAUAGACAUGUGCACCUUACAAUCAAUCUGCAUUAAAUGAAGUUGACCUAUUGCUUAUAGUAUCCAAGAAACUAACUUUACCAUUAAAUUGUUUAUUGACCAAUGUGUAACCAAGAAAUCCACAGUCUAAGACUAGGAGACUGAUAUGAGGAUUCGGUCACAACUAAAACCUAAAUAACCAUGC
rnacentral:lncRNA from 1 species